rnacentral:ncRNA from 1 species
AAAAAAUAUAAUAUUUACUCGUAUAAUCUCGGGAAUAUGGCCUGAGAGUUUCUACCGAGCUACCUUAAAUAGCUUGACUACGGGGUAUGGUGU